AGUAACACGUGGGUAACCUGCCUUAUAGUGGGGGAUAGCCUUUCGAAAGGAAGAUUAAUACCGCAUAAGAUUGUAGUAUCGCAUGAUAUAGCAAUUAAAGGAGCAAUUCGCUAUAAGAUGGACCCGCGUCGCAUUAGCUAGUUGGUGAGGUAAUGGCUCACCAAGGCGACGAUGCGUAGCCGACCUGAGAGGGUGAUCGGCCACAUUGGGACUGAGACACGGCCCAGACUCCUACGGGGGCAGCAUG
rnacentral:rRNA from 1 species